GAGACCGUGUCAUUGCACUCCAGCCUGGGCAACAAGAGCAAAAUUCGGUCUUUAAAUAAAUAAAUACAUGAACAGGCCUUAGGCUACUUAAGGGUAAUGGAAUGACCAUUGUGUGUGUCUUGGUGGCCUUCAGUGAAGUCUGGGUGAGCUAUAGUAGUAACUGCGUCUGCUGUAGUAUCAUGAAAAAAACACUGAGCUUAAAACAGUUUCCUUAUCCAUAACAAAAUGGACAACAAUCUCGCAGAGUUUGUGUGAGAAUUAAAGGAGAAAAUACUUGGGAAAGUGCUUUGAAGUCUCCAUAGCACUCUGUAAAAGCAAGGAAAUGCACUUGUGAUCAAUAUCAUGAUAGCAUGGAGUGAGUUACUCCCUAGUCAUUCAUGAUAAGGUUGCCCACAAAGAGCAAGUAGGUCACUUCACCAAACAGAAUUCUGUACUGUAUAUAUUACAGAAACUCCCAGGUUGAGUCAUCAAGUAAAAUGAAAAGCAGUGUGUUCAAUUUAAAAUGUUCAUUUCAUUUUCACAUUCCAUUCUUUACUAACAGAAUGGUUUCACUUCAUUUCCAGUCACUUUCAUUUUCAAGUUCUCAAGCUUCACUUAGUGUCAGUUGUGUUCCCAUACUUAAACAUGUGCUUUGUCUUCCUUGAUCCUCUCUCUGAGGAUGUUUCUCUGACUGAUGUGCUGUGGUCAGAACGAGAGCAUUUCCACAUGGUGCAUUUCCUAGGUAGGCAUGUCUAAAAUCAGGAAGUGGCCUAUCUCAGAACAUUCCUUGUGACCCUUUAUCCUCCCCACCCAAUGCCUAGUGACUGAUUUAUUUGAGUAAGGCUACUUCCACUUUUAGUUCAAGGGCCUUGCUCCCUGUGUGUAAGAAUCCCUCUAAUGACAUUGCUUUCCCUCCACCCACUUUCCCCAUUGAAACCAAUGUUUAGAAAUGAUAGAAGAAUGAAAAGAACAUCUCAGGUCCUGUUUUUGUACCACCUUUGCUAUUGUAGUACCUCUUUUGUAUUGCCAACUGAAUUUGGUACACGUGACUUUAAGGGGGAAAAAAUAAAUAACAUAAAGUAGGAGAGCUCCUAGCUGUCUUAAAUGAAUUAAAAGCCUUAGGCCAGAGUUAAUUAUAUUGUAGAUUGUAGACUAAAUAUGGGGAGGGGGGAGGUUACUCAACAACUGGGUUGGGAAAUAAAUUAAUAUAUAAAACCAUCAGAGAAUAUAUCAGAGCAGAGUUGUGGAAAGUCACCUAAGGAAAGUCAUUGUCUCUAGGCCAAAGACUGGCCUGGACAUAAGUAAUACACCAAUGUGUCAGAAAGAGGGUUGGUCAACAUCAGAAGCACUCAGAGAUAAACACUGGUUGUGCCCUCUGCCCACAAUAACUGUCCAUAGAAAUGCGAAUGCUGGUAGUCUUCAAAGUUUCAGCGUCACUGGCAAAAAUCCUUUGUUGGAAGUUCAAUUUAACAUUCAAGUUCUGUAGCAAAUUCCUCCUAUUCUGAUGUCUUGUGUUUACAGUUUGCCUCUGUAAGUAGAACUCUCCAAAGGGAAAAAUGCUCUGGUCAGACUGUUAUGAGUAUCUGGUUUGUGUGACAGAUACAUAACUUUUGUAAAUCAACACAUUGGCAUUCUCGUUGGCUCCACCAAUUUAUUGUGAACUUUGUCUGGGGGGCAUCAUACCUAAGUCUGUUCAGCUCUGGGAUACUGAUAAGGUCAAGUUUCUGUGCCUACAAGGCUGGUUCUGGACCCAAGCUGUACAGUUCAUAUAGCCAAAUAGUGCCAUUUAGUAAAAAAGGGAGAUAAUAUGGCAUUUGGUUGGAAGUUUGGACUCUAGAAACUGAUUGAACUAGACUUGAAUACUAGAUCAGCUACUUACAUACUGUGUGACACCUAAGCCUACUUUCCUCUCUAAAAAGGAUAUUAUCAUAACACUGACCUCAAAGGGUUGUUUUGAUAAUUAAAUUAAAUAAUCCAUGUAAAAUACUUGGCUCAGAGCCUUACAUAGAGCUGUUAGCAGCAGCAGCAGCAGCAGCAGCACCAGUGGCAAGGUAAAUACCACCCUGUGUGUCCUUUGGGUGGUCAGCAAAUUUGGACUGGUUUAGAAUCUGAACAGUCUGACCAAUUUGAACUGGUUUAGAACUCUCCUAACUCACUACUGGGCCCUUUCCAUUGGACCCAGAGCAUUGGGUAGUGACAGAAUUUGCCAGUGUAGUCACAUCAUUUAUGAGAAAUGAUAGCAAUGGUUUGGUGCCAUAGUAAUGGAAAAUGGCACUGGUCACUGUCCUAAUUUUGAAAAAAAUUGAGUGAAGAAGACAUGUUCUAGAAUGUGCACGAUGUUGAUCUUCAGCAGAAUUUUAGAGUGGAUUACUAAAUGAUUGCUUGUGAGAAAAACAUGAUUAUCAGGAGGCAAUAUGAGCUCACUGAAAACAAAACUUUCCUAUUUCUAGCAUCCUUAAAGUCUUUCACAUUUCAUCUUAUUGGUUAUGGGAAUGUCAAGGGGUAGAUUUUUAUUUCUGGGAGGAGUUUGGCUAAGAUUUUUAUGAUACUCUUCUUGUCCUGUUGAAGCUGAGUAGAUUCAUAGCUGGUUGCACAAAUGUCCACUGGCAGUUUUUAGCUGAUGGAUGUAGUCCUUCUGAAGAGGGAUCCUCAGGGUAAGCCUCAGGAACCUGUCUACUGAUGCUAUUCUGUCCAAGUUUCUCAUUAAAAAUUUCUGACGAAAGCACAAAUAAUGUGCUUUUGCAGUAAGUGAGAUAGGAUUUUUUAAAUAUCUGUGUAGGUUGAUGGGUGGAUUUGCUAAUAACAACCAUAUGUAGCAUUUAUUGAGUACUUACUGUGUGCUAGGCAAAUUAUCUCAUUUAAUCCUCACAAUGACCCUUUGAGGUGUAUGCUAAUAAUAUUCCAUUCUAUAGGUAGAAGUAGAGGCACAGAAAUGUUAAGUCAUUUACUCGAGUCCCACAGCCAAUAAGAGGCACAGAUGGCACAGGAACCAUUUGUCUAUCACCAAAGCCCAUACUCUUAACCACUGUAUUAUGCUACUAGAACCAGUGAGUCAGAAUUUUACAUGGAUUAAUGUAAAGUCCUAAGCUAAGGUUAGCAAAGUAGUAUAUUAAGUCUUGAAGGAGGGAGCUUGGGUUGAUUGCAAGUAACAAGGAAAAGAUUUAGGGAUAUUAGUUGAUGGGAAACUCAGUGUGAUUCAAUACUAACAUACCUACUUUUAAAAAAGAACAACUAUAUGAGGAUGCAUUAUUAGAAUAUAGCAUCAUGGAUCAUGGGUGGCAAUAGUUCUUCUCUAAGAGUCCAUGUCCAGAGUACUAAGUCAGGUGAGUCAUUAAGGAGGUCUUGACCAUUAUAAUCAGGAGAAUAAGAGAUCUAGAUUUACAUCCUAAGAGGAAAAAUGGUGAACUAAUGUCAGCCUGGAAAAGAGAAAAACCAAAGAGGAAUAUGAAGACAACCUCGAAAUAUUAACAACCUAGUUAUAUGAUGAGAGAGAGUAGAUGCCAUUGGUGUCUAAGAGAGACAAAAAUCACUUCUCAUUCCCUGUUGAGAAAGGGACUGUGGCAUCAGAUUGAUGGAGAACAAAAUGUCAGCUUUAUUCCAGUAAAACCAGAUUAGAAAACGUGGCCUGAUCUGUAGUUACAAUCAGUCUUUUUAUACCCCUCCCCAGUUAAACACACUUUGAGUCAGGCAAAGCCCUGGGCAACUGUUCUUUGCAGAGGCAGGGCAGUUCUUGUGUGAAGGAGAAGGAGAAGGUGUGCAUCCUGAAGACAGGGGUACACCUGACUUCUCAACUCUGAAUAAGACAGGAUGGAACCUAGCUCAUAUCUGCACAAAAAUUCUUCUUGGAAUCCUUGAAGAGGGCUGCAAAAAAAAAAAAGGUCAAAAUGCUACUCUAGCAGGAAGCCACUCAUGAAAACCUUAGGCAGGGGAAUUGUGUUACCCCUGGUUCUUAUCAACCUUAACUUUAGUGGGGCAACCAAGCCAAUGGGGCACUCUUAUUCCUGAAAUGUUUGGCCUCUGUACAGAAUGCUGUGAAAAAGAGUCUUCUAAAAUUGGGAGGUUGGGGGAGGGAUGUCUAGAUUACUUCUUCGGCCCCCCCCACUCUCUAAGAUUCUUUUGAAAUCAGUUAAGACAUGCAUUAGAAAAUAACGGAAACUCCAAGUAAAGCACGUCAGUAGUUUAAAGGCUUAAUUUGUUGGAGCAGUGAGAGACUAUCAGUGUUCUAAGUGCUAUGGCUUAUCAUGUUCUAGAGGUGGCUUUGUUCCAACUGUUUGUUCACCAGUGUUUUGAGUUAAAGGGAAUUACAACCUACAAAUUUAUGCACAUGGCACUUCACAGAAUAGAAGAGCCCAACUUCUGGCCUCUUAUAUCCACAUGCAACAAAUAUGGCUGUGUCCUUCCCCCAGGACUCAAUUUGUAAGCCUCUUUAUUGCGUUGUGCUGUAGUAAAAAAUUCCCAGUUUUGUGGGCAGUCUGUGAAACCAGCCUUCCUUUAUUUCAACUUUUUGUUUUGCCUUUAUACUGUGAAUUAAAUGAAUCCUUGGGGGUUCGAAUUAUAUUAUGGAAAAAAGAACUUGAUGUUCUGAGAAGCUGAAGAACAAUUUGUUUUCCUCGGCUAGGUAUUUAGGACUUAAAGGAUUUCAUUAUCAUUUUCAAAAAACUUGAAGAAGAUUAAUUAUCCCCAUUGUCUCAAAUAGCAAAAAUAGUCUAUUCAAUUCUCGCCUGAGUUAUCAUCACAAUAACCCUAUAUUCUUAAUAUGGCCGUUUGUAUUUUUUGAAGCUUCUCAAUAGGGAAUGAGAAGAAAGUAAUUUUUGACCCUCUUAGACACCAGUGGUGUCUACUCUCUCUCAUCAUAUAACUCUGUUAAUAUUUAAAGGUUGUCUUUAUCUUCCUUAUUGGUUUUUCCCUUUUGUUUUUUACACACCAUAAUCAUCACAAAUAAUCCUGUUUGGGAGGCAAGACAAAUAUUAUUGUACCCAUUUCAGAAACAAGGAGAAUAGAACUCAGAGUGAUGGUGGGAACAAUUAACAGAUGUUCUCUGAGCACCAAUCUGUUCCAACUACCUGCAAUAGUACGUUUAAUCCUUAUAAUAGUUCUAGGAGUUAGGUGCUAUUAUCCCCAUUUUGAGAUGGGGAAGCUGUGGCUCAAAGUGUUAUUUGCCCAAGGUCACACAGUAAUAACUAGAAGAACCGAAAUUAGACCUGAGCUUUCUGUUUCUGAAAUCCAUGCUCUUAAUCUCUAGGUUAUUACCACUGGAGAGGUUAUGAACCUGCCCAAAGCCACUGGCUGCCCAGGAGCUGAGGCGGGGCAAGAACCUAUGUCUUCAGACUGCUUAAGCACAUCUUCUAGAUCCUGUAGCUGCUUCACUGGUUUGCAUUAACUUUGGGGUUUUUCAAUACAAAAAGAGGAAACAAAUGAAAGCUAAGCCAAAUUUUGCCUUUAUAACAUAGAGGAACUUACUCAGUACCAAGGAUAAUCUGAGCUCUUAUGGGAUUUUGUUAAGUGCCCAAUGUUCUUUCAUAUUCUGUUUAUUCUUUACCAUCAGUAAAUGCAGGUGGUUCUUGUCCGAUAGUGAUUCACAUGUGGGCUUAUGCCAGGUACACCUAUUUUACUACUUUUGGCAUUUAUAAGGGCAAUAUGUUUCUCAACUAAUUUGGAGAAAAUAAGUUCUCCUAUUAACUGUAGCAGAAAAACAAAUGGGAAAGUCAGUGAGGUUCAAUGGAAGGAGCUCAGACCAAUCUUCGGCAUCAGCCCAAGCAGAGUUAGAAACCCCAGCUCAGUCUCUUCCUAAAAAAGGGACUUUAAAUAAGUUACUGAAUCUCUCUAAAAACCUAUUUCUGUAUUUUAAACUAGAGAUAACACUUGACUCAUGGGUUUAUUAGAGCGAACAAAUGAAAAAGGUCGUUAAGUGUUUAUUGGCAAUGAACUGUAUGGUAGAUGCUGUGCUUGUGUUUGCUUCACUUAAUCCUCAUGACAGCCCUAGGAGAUAGGUAUUAUUAUCACCUCUUUACAGAUAAGGAAAUUGAAUCUUAAGGACAUGCGAUAACUUUCCUAAAGUGAACUCUACCUUGAUGUGUUGGAAAAGUUUAAGAGGAUAACAAAUCAAAUAUGUCAUUUCAGUUUCUUCAAAGCCAUGAAAUAUUCUUAAGUUUCCCCGAAAGAGUUCUCAAAUAAGGCUGUCAAGGUCUUCUUAAAGAAUCCCAUUUAAGUUCUGUUAUCCCAGUGGUUCCUUUAUCUUUCUAUUUCAUGCUAUAAAAUUAAGUGUAGAAUUACAAAGAAGUAUUUCAAAGUGUAUAUAAUAUUCCUCUGUUUUGUGGAUUUACAUAUCAUCUCUUCCAUCAGCAGAGAUUAAGAGGGGUGUAAAUACUUGGAUAAGGCACCAUAUCCUUGGACUUCCUCACCUCCAUCAACAGGGGUCAAGAGGAGCCUGGACAAUAAUCCCUCUCUGACCCAUUUCUCAGCGUAAUCACCACUAUUUGCCUCAAACAAUCUCAUCUCAUGAGGCCUUCGAUCAGUGUUUAGAUUAGCCACCCUAAGAAGCCUGACUUGUAGGAAAGCUUUUACCUCCCAAAGCCUAAUUCUUCUAUUCCGUUUCUCCCCAAGUCCUGUGUCCCCUGAGAUUCAGAGUCUGCCAUUGGCAAAACCUCCUAUGUCUUAACCCCUUCUCAGAACAGUCCUUUCACCUUCCCACUCUAGACUAAACAGUGGCUGUCACCUAAGCAUGCAUCCUCCCCUGCUGACUUCCUAAGUGGUGGCAAUGUUAUCCUCCCCAGUCUCCUAUGACAAGGCCUUGGAGGUGGGCUAAGCGUCCUCUUUGUUGUUCCCCACUGCCGCUUUCAGACCAUUCUUCAUCUCCCCGUCUCUAAAUCCAACUGCACCCCCCCCCCAUUUUAAAUCUCAUGUUAUCAGUUAUGUAUAGACCUCUAUGAGCUUCAUCCCACACAGUGUAAAGGUAUAUCCUUCUGGCCAAUCAAUACGGAGUUUAUGGUUCUUUUGUAAAGAAAGUGGAUAAUGGCCUCUUGAUCAAGAACAUAAUUGCUGUUUUCAUUAGUCAAUACUAUAUGAUGAGUGUGUGCAGUCCUUGGGAAGUGGGAUCAGCCCCAUCAGGCUGACUGAGAGUUGAGGUCUUCACCCACUCAGAGUCAAGAACUGUGG